GAUGAACGCUGGCGGCGUGCCUAAUACAUGCAAGUCGAGCGAUCAGGCUUGGUGCUUGUUCCACUUACGUUAGCGGCGGACGGGUGAGUAACGCGUGGAUAAUCUACCUUUUAGCCUGGGAUAACUUCUGGAAACCAGUGCUAAUACCGCAUAAUAUCUUUAACCGCAUGUUUCAAGAUUGAAAGAUGCUUUUGCUUCCCUCAAUAGUUGUCUCCGCGUCGCAUUAGCUAGUUGUUAAGGUAACGGCUAACCAAGGCAACGAUGCUUAGCCGACCUGAGAGGGUGAUCGGCCACACUGGAACUGAGACACGGUCCAGACUCCUACGGGAGGCAGCAGUAGGGAAUCUUCGGCAAUGGGCGAAAGCCUGACCGAGCAACGCCGCGUGAGUGAAGAAGGUCUUCGGAUCGUAAAACUCUGUUGUUAGGGAAGAACAAAGGUGUGAGUAGAAAGGCAAGUAAUGACGGUAACCAAUCAAAAAGCCAAGGCUAACUUAGUG
rnacentral:rRNA from 1 species